AUUGAACGCUGGCGGCAUGCCUUACACAUGCAAGUCGAACGUGAAAGGCGGGGCAACCCGCAAGUAGAGUGGCGGACGGGUGAGUAAUACAUCGGAACGUGUCCAGUAAGUGGGGGAUAACCUAGCGAAAGUUAGGCUAAUACCGCAUACGAUCUGCGGAUGAAAGCGGGGGAUGCGGCACUAAAGGCUUUUGGCGAAGGUGGCCAAAGGUGAGUCAAGAGUCUUUUAGUGCNGCACCUCGCGUUAUUGGAGCGGCUGAUGUCUGAUUAGCUAGUUGGUGAGGUAAAGGCUUACCAGGCGACGAUGGGUAGCUGGUCUGAGAGGAUGGUCAG
rnacentral:rRNA from 1 species